CCUACGGGAGGCAGCAGUGGGGAAUAUUGGACAAUGGGGGGAACCCUGAUCCAGCGACGCCGCGUGAGUGAAGAAGGAUUUCGGUAUGUAAAGCUCUAUCAGUAGGGAAGAAAAUGUCGCUACGUGACUAAGAAGCCACGUCUAACUACGUGCCAGCAGCCGCGGUAAUACGGAGGGGGCAAGCGUUAUCCGGAUUUACUGGGUGUAAAGGGAGCGUAGUCGGUGCAGCAAGUCUGAUGUGAAAGGUCGGGGCCAAACCCCGGGACUGCAUUGGAAACUGUUGAACUGGAGUACAGGAGAGGUAGGCGGAAUGCGUGGUGUAGCGGUGAAAUGCGUAGAUAUUAGGAGGAACACCAGUGGCGAAGGCAGCUUACUGGACUGUAACUGACGUUGAGGUUCGAAAGCGUGGGGAGCAAACAGGAUUAGAUACUCCGGUAGUC
rnacentral:rRNA from 1 species